GGCAGUUCUCAAGUGAUGCACCCUGGAAUCAGGCGCCCCCCUCUCUGGUUCCGAGUGUGUCACCUGAGAACCACU
rfam:Myotis davidii contig64485, whole genome shotgun sequence.